rnacentral:tRNA from 1 species
GCCUUGGUGGCUCAGUCGGUUAAGCAUCUGACUUCAGCUCAGGUCAUGAUCUCGUGGUUUGUGAGUUCGAGCCCCACAUCAGGCU